UACGAAGGGGGCGAGCGUUGUUCGGAAUUACUGGGCGUAAAGCGUGCGCAGGCGGUUUGCUAAGACCGAUGUGAAAUCCCCGGGCUCAACCUGGGAACUGCAUUGGUGACUGGCAGGCUAGAGUAUGGCAGAGGGGGGUAGAAUUCCACGUGUAGCAGUGAAAUGCGUAGAGAUGUGGAGGAAUACCGAUGGCGAAGGCAGCCCCCUGGGCCAAUACUGACGCUCAUGCACGAAAGCGUGGGGAGCAAACAGG
rnacentral:rRNA from 1 species